rnacentral:rRNA from 1 species
GAAUAUUGGACAAUGGGCGAAGGCCUGAUCCAGCCCUGCCGCGUGUGUGAAGGAGGUCUUCGGAUUGUAAAGAACUUUAAGUGGGGAGGAAGGGCAGUAAGCGAAUAACUUGCUGUGUUGACGUUACAGACAGAAUAAGCCCCGGCUAACUGUGUGCCAGCAGCCGCGGUAAUACAGAGGGGGCAAGCGUUAAGCGUAAUUACUGGGCGUAAAGCGCGCGUAGUGGGUUCGUUGAGUCGGAUGUGAAAUCCCCGGGCUCAACCUGGGAACUGCAUCCAAAACUGGCGAGCUAGAGUAGGACAGAGGGUGGUGGAAUUUCCUGUGUAGCGGUGAAAUGCGUAGAUAUAGGAAGGAACACCAGUGGCGAAGGCGACCACCUGGGCCCAUACUGACACUGAGGUGCGAAAGCGUGGGGAGCAAACA